GAUGAAGAACGCAGCGAAAUGCGAUAAGUAGUGUGAAUUGCAGAAUUCAGUGAAUCAUCGAAUCUUUGAACGCACAUUGCGCCCCUUGGUAUUCCAUGGGGCAUGCCUGUUCGAGCGUCAUCUACACCCUCAAGCUCUGCUUGGUGUUGGGCGUCUGUCCCGCCCCCGCGCGUGGACUCGCCCCAAAUCCAUUGGCAGCGUUCCUUGCCCCCUCUCGCGCAGCACAUUGCGCUUCUCGAGGGCGGCUCCGGGACGCGAUCCAGCAAGAUGACCACCGUCUUGACCUCGGAUCAGGUAGGGAUACCCGCUGAACUUAAGCAUAUCAAUAAGCGGAGGA
rnacentral:misc_RNA from 1 species